UCCGGUCGAUCCUGCCGGACCCUAUUGCUAUCGGGGUGAGAUUAAGCCAUGCAAGUUGCGCGCUCCCUAGCCAUGUUGGGAGAGCAGCGAACGGCUCAGUAGCACGUAGUCAAUCUGCCCUUAGGACGGGGAUAACCCUGGGAAACUGGGACUAAUACCCGAUAGAUGGGAGAGCCUGGAAUGGUCUCCCGUCUAAAAGUUCUUGCAAACAUGCUUACAAGAAUGCCUGAGGAUGAGACUGCGUCCGAUCAGGCUGUUGGUGGGGUAACGGCCCACCAAACCUAUAACCGGUACGGGCCCUGAAAGGGGGAGCCCGGAGAUGGGAACUGAGACAAGGUCCCAGGCCCUACGGGGCGCAGCAGGCGCGAAAACUCCGCAAUGCGCGCAAGCGUGACGGGGUUACCCCGAGUGCCGUCCGAUGAGGAUGGCUUUUACUCAUUGUAAGGAGCUGGGUGAAUAAAGGGGGGGCAAGUCUGGUGUCAGCCGCCGCGGUAAUACCAGCCCCCUGAGUGAUAGGGACGAUUAUUUAGCCUAAAGCGUCCGUAGCCGGUUUAGUAAGUCUUUCGUCAAAUCUGACGACUUAAUCGCCAGAGCGCAGAAGAUACUGCUAGACUUGAGGGCGGGAGAGGUUGACGGUAGUCCAGGAGUAGGGGUGAAAUCCUAUAAUCCCUGGAGGACCACCAGUGGCGAAGGCGGUCGACUAGAACGCGCCUGACGGUGAUGGACGAAAGCUGGGGGAGCAAACCGGAUUAGACACCCGGGUAGUCCCAGCUGUAAACGAUGCGGGCUAGGUGUUGGUGCAGCUACGUGCUUCACCAGUGCCGCAGAGAAGUCGUUAAGCCCGCCGCUUGGGAAGUACGGCCGCAAGGCUGAAACUUAAAGGAAUUGGCGGGGGAGCACCACAAGGGGUGAAGCCUGCGGUUCAAUUGGAGGCAACGCCGGGAAACUUACCAAGGCUGACAGCAGAGUGAAGGCCAGACUAAAGAUCUUGCUAGACAAGCUGAGAGGUGGCGCAUGGCCGUCGACAGUUCGUGCCGUGAGGUGUCCUGUUAAGUCAGGCAACGAACGAGAUCCUCGCUUUUAAUUGCCAGCGGGUUCCAACGGAACGCCGGGCACUUUAAUUGGACUGCCAUCGAUAAGAUGGAGGAAGGAGAGGGCCACGGCAGGUCAGUAUGCCCCAAAUGCCUUGGGCCACACGCGGGCUGCAAUGGUAGGUACAGAGGGUUCUGACCUCGAAAGGGGAAAGUAAUCCCGAAACCCUAUCGUAGUUGGGACUGAGGGCUGAAACCCGCCCUCACGAACAUGGAAUCCCUAGUAAUCGCGCGUCAUCAUCGCGCGGUGAAUACGUCCCCGCUCCUUGCACACACCGCCCGUCGCUCCAUCCAAGUCAAGUUUAGAUGAGGCGCAGUCUUCCUUGGCUAUGUCGAAUCUAAGCUUGGUAAGGGGGGAGAAGUCGUAACAAGGUG
rnacentral:rRNA from 1 species